rnacentral:rRNA from 1 species
UACGUAGGGAGCGAGCGUUGUCCGGAUUUACUGGGUGUAAAGGGUGCGUAGGCGGCAGAGCAAGUCAGGCGUGAAAGCCAUGGGCUUAACCCAUGAACUGCGCUUGAAACUGUUCUGCUUGAGUGAAGUAGAGGCAGGCGGAAUUCCCGGUGUAGCGGUGAAAUGCGUAGAGAUCGGGAGGAACACCAGUGGCGAAGGCGGUCUGCUGGGCUUUAACUGACGCUGAGGCACGAAAGCAUGGGUAGCAAACAGG